rnacentral:rRNA from 1 species
GACGAACGCUGGCGGCGUGCUUAACACAUGCAAGUCGAACGGAAAGGCCCUGCUUUUGUGGGGUGCUCGAGUGGCGAACGGGUGAGUAACACGUGAGUAACCUGCCCUUGACUUUGGGAUAACUUCAGGAAACUGGGGCUAAUACCGGAUAGGAGCUCCUGCUGCAUGGUGGGGGUUGGAAAGUUUCGGCGGUUGGGGAUGGACUCGCGGCUUAUCAGCUUGUUGGUGGGGUAGUGGCUUACCAAGGCUUUGACGGGUAGCCGGCCUGGGAGGGUGACCGGCCACAUUGGGACUGAGAGACGGCCCAGACUCCAACGGGAGGCAGCAGUGGGGAAUAUUGCACAAUGGGCGGAAGCCUGAUGCAGCAACGCCGCGUGCGGGAUGACGGCCUUCGGGUUGUAAACCGCUUUCGCCUGUGACGAAGCGUGAGUAACGGUAAUGGGUAAAGAAGCACCGGCUAACUACGUG